AGCGAACGCUGGUGGCGUGCUUAACACAUGCAAGUCGCGCGCGAAAGAGGGCUUUCGGGUCUUGAGUAGAGCGGCGCACGGGUGCGUAAGACGCGGGUGACCUAUCCACGAGGUGGGAUAACCCUUCGAAGAGGGCUAAUACCGGAUGAGCCCACAGGCAGAGAUGCGUAGGGGCAAAGGGUGCGAUUUACUAAGCGCAUCUCUUCGUGGCGGGGCCCACGGCCUAUCAGCUAGUUGGUGUGGUAACGGCACACCAAGGCGAAGACGGGUAGCUGGUCUGAGAGGA
rnacentral:rRNA from 1 species